rnacentral:rRNA from 1 species
UACGGAGGGUGCAAGCGUUAUCCGGAUUCACUGGGUUUAAAGGGUGCGUAGGUGGUCUGUUAAGUCAGUGGUGAAAUCCCGCGGCCCAACCGUGGAACUGCCAUCGAUACUGGCGGACUUGAGUGCGUGAGGGGUUACCGGAACGAGCAGUGUAGCGGUGAAAUGCGUAGAUAUUGCUCGGAAGGCCAGAGGCGAAGGCGGGUAACUGGCACGCAACUGACACUGAGGCACGAAAGCGUGGGGAGCAAACAGG